rnacentral:rRNA from 1 species
ACGAACACUGGCGGCGUGCUUAACACAUGCAAGUCGAACGGAAAGGCCUGCUUUCCCUUGUGGAUUGCGGGUACUCGAGUGGCGAACGGGUGAGUAACACGUGAGUGAUCUGCCCCCAACUUGGGUAUAAGCCUGGGAAACUGGGUCUAAUUCCCGAUAGGACUGCAGGGUGGUGCCUGUGGUGGAAAACGAUUUUCUAGUGGUUGGGGAUGAGCUCGCGGCCUAUCAGCUUGUUGGUGGGGUAAUGGCCUACCAAGGCGGCGACGGGUAGCCGGCCUGAGAGGGUGGACGGCCACAUUGGGACUGAGAUACGGCCCAGACUCCGACGGGAGGCAGCAGUGGGGAAUAUUGCACAAUGGGCGGAAGCCUGAUGCAGCGACGCCGCGUGGGGGAUGACGGCCUUCGGGUUGUAAACUCCUUUCGACCGCGAGGAAGCCACCUGGUUGGAAGGGUGGUGACGGUAGUGGUAGAAGAAGCACCGGCUAACUACGUG